UAGUUACAAUAAAUAUAUCAACUCUCAAAAAACUCUCUUAACAAGUGAAACUGCGAGCUACUGCUCACUGAUGAUACCCCCGCCGCAAGUGGAUAAUAUUAAUAGUGUAAAAAUAUGCAAGUGUUCGGUAAACAGGAAGUUGUCGAGUGAUGAAUCUGAAAACGCAUCACACGGCAUAGCUGACUUAUAUAAAUCCUGAAACCAAAUUUCAGAAAUCCUUGUAUUGUAGUUCCUGAGAAAAAUGUGACGAAAAUUUUCAACUUGGCUAUCAUGUGUAAAAUCAUACAAGUGUUCGGUAAACAGGAAGUUGUCGAGUGAUGAAUCUGAAAACGCAUCACACGGUAUAGCUGACUUAUAUAAAUCCUGAAACCAAAUUUCAGAAAUCCUUGUAUUGUAGUUCCUGAGAAAAAUGUGACGAAAAUUUUCAACUUGGCUAUAAUGUGUGUAAAAUCAGACAAGUGUUCGGUAAACAGGAAGUUGUCAAGUGAUGAAUCUGAAAACGCAUCACACGGUAUGGCUGACAUAUAUAAAUGUUGAUACCAAAUUACAGAAAGGGUGGAUGUGUAGUUCCUGAGAAAAAUGUGACGAAAGUUUCAUGGGACGGACUGACUGACGGACGGACUGACGGACGGACUGACGGACUGAUGGACGGACUGACGGACGGACUGACGGACAGACAGAGGUAAAACAGUAUACCCCCCCUUUUUUAAAGCGAGGGUAUAAUUACAUAAUUAUAAAUCAAUGCUUCAUGAUAUGAUAUCCAUGAAAUACUUUAAUAUUCUGAGAAAAAAAAAUAUACUGCAUUCAAAAUAAGUUUGUUCUACAGAAUGUAAAAUUAACUUUGGAACAUUUUUUCCAGCACUCAAAUGUAUAUUACAUCUCACAUACAUAAAUUACAGUUCUAACAGGGGAAGGGUAGAGUUAAAACCUAAAAUAGUCAUUAUUAAAGAAAAGUCUUCACAUUUGUUAUUUGAAAGUACAACAAUUUGUAUUACAAUGCCCAGUUACUUAGAUAAUAUUACAUAUUGUAGGUUUUUUUGCACUUACACUAAAACUGUUAUCCUUAUUGAUAUAUCAUGUUUCAAGAGCUUGUGCUCAAUGUUUGUAAAUCUAAUACAUGAUUAAUGCACAAAUUUGUUUACAUGAUUUUUAUCCGUAUAAUCAAUUCCCCCCCCCCCCUAUAUACAUUGUAUUACAAAUAUUAUUCUUUUUUUGUUUCUAGUGAACUCAUCAAUUCAAAGGAUUAAAAUUAUAUUACAAAAAUUCCUGGACAUAAAAACAUAAAGCUGAAAAAAAUUAUAAACUGGCUAUUCAUUUAAAAAUGAUUUGUGAAUAAAAUGCAAUCGUACCACAUCUCCUUAAUUUCCUGAUAUAUUGUUAACUGAUGUCUUUACAAGAAGAAUUAACAA
rnacentral:lncRNA from 1 species